UACGAAGGGGGCUAGCGUUGCUCGGAAUGACUGGGCGUAAAGGGCGCGUAGGCGGAUGGCACAGUCAGAUGUGAAAUUCCCGGGCUUAACCUGGGGCUGCAUUUGAUACGUGUUGUCUAGAGUGAGGAAGAGGGGUUGUGGAAUUCCCAGUGUAGAGGUGAAAUUCGUAGAUAUUGGGAAAGAACACCGGUGGCGAAGGCGGCAACCUGGUCCUUGACUGACGCUGAGGCGCGAAAGCGUGGGGAGCAAAACAGG
rnacentral:rRNA from 1 species